GAGAGAUAGGCUGUCUUGGGGU
rnacentral:siRNA from 1 species